rnacentral:lncRNA from 1 species
CCUGUAUGCACACGCACGCAGCCAUGUUACUGUUAGUUAGACAGGCUUCCCAACUGAAUGAGUUGAAUCAAGAAGGUUCCUACCACACCACCAAGUCAACAAAAUGGCUAGAAUUCCACGGUAAUAUAGAAUUUGAUAAAGUAUAUGCAUGCCCUCGUGGUCGUGAGUGGGCACGGUUGGUUAGGUUCAUGGACCCAACCCAACCCAAUAUGAGGACUAAUAAACUAGUCUAUGAUUGGCAUGCAUGCCAUGCUGAGGGCCCUCAAUUCCAACUAACAUGAAGCAGCCAACAAAGGCCUUGUUUAGUUGGCAAAAACUUUUGUUUUUGGCUACUGUAGCAUUUCGUUUUUAUUUGACAAACAUUAUCCAAUCACGAAGUAACUAGGCUCAAAAGAUUCAUCUCACAAAUUACAGGUAAACUGUGCAGUUAGUUUUUAUUUUCCUUUAUAUUUAAUGCUCCAUACAUGCGACCAAAGAUUCGAUGUGACGGAAAAUCUUGAAAUUUUUUACGAAAAGUACAAACCAAAUGAUCGAUCCAUGUAACCACUUUUUAAUUGAGAGACACAGAAAAAGCUUUUACUUGCAUAUGCAUGUUGAAAAAAAAAAGAGGCUAUAAACGUGAAGCCGUACUCCUUUUCCAUCACUCUCUGUCGCUCUCGGUGUAUAUGUAAUAUGUGUGUUUGUGGUUGGUUGCGCGGAUCCUAAGCUUUCGGGCUUGCGCGGAAAGCAAAGCAACCAAGGCACGUGUAGCGGGGAGAGCCCCAUUUUUUCUUUUUCGUUGAUUGAGUCAGGACUCAGGAGGUGACUAGUGCGGUUCACCAACUCGUCAUGCGAUUUUCUAUCCUCAUCAAAACCUACCCCGCCUUGUUUCUAUUAAGGCCUUAUUUAGUUCCUUAUCGAAAUUUUUUCGAAACACUACCAUUUUCAUUUGUAUUUGAAAAUUAUUGUCCAAUUAUGGACUAACUAGGCUCAAAAGAUUCGUCUCGCGAAUUACAGAUAAACUGUGUAAUUAGUUUUUGAUUUCGUCUACAUUUAACGCUUGAUGCAUAUGUUCAAAAAUUCGAUGUAAUAGAAAAUCUUGAAAAGUUUUUGGAUUUUUGGUGGAAGUAAACAAGGCCUAACCUGUUGUGGACAAUGACAAGUUGUUACGUACUCCUUAACCCCGUGCGGUUUUUUUAGUUACGUGUCAAAUACAAUUGCCAAAUGCAAGCCUAAUACAAAACGAGCGUAGACAACGAUGCCAUGAUUUGGUCAUCUGGUUUGUCCGCUUCGGUUCAAGAGUUUGGUGGAUGGAGGCCUCCCAAAAGUCCAACUCGAUCACCAAAUUGAAAGAGUUUGUUGAUUCGUCCUUGUCCACUGGUUGAUGCCAUUAUUGAUUGUGAUUCGGGACGCAAGCUAG